AAGGAAGGGGAGGGGAGGGAGAAAACACCAGCUAAAAAGGGUCCAUUCUUCUUUUAGUAGUUCAUGGCCGUAUCAGAUAGUGCGUUGUGCUACCUGGAGAUCGCCCACCCAGGUGUGUGAGCCUGGGGCACGGUUUUCUCAGACAAUCCCAGUGGGAGGCAGUUAGGAAGAAAGUCAGAGCUUUUCAUCCUGCUAGGAGACAAAACGGAUUGUGGGAGUGUCGCCGCCAAGCUGACCACAGGGUCCUCUUCUAUUCCAGCUCACCGAGUGAUCGCCUGUGCCUGAAAGAAGGCCUUAGAAACUGAAGUCUUUCCCAGCAUCAGGGUCUUUUCCAAUGAGUCGGCUCUUCGCAUCAGGUGGCCAAAGGAUUGGAGCUCUAUGGUACUUGGAACAAUCUCAAGGCAGCUUCCAGGUGGCUCAGUGGUGAAGAAUCCGCCUGCCAAUGCAGGAGACGUG